AAACCACAUGGGCAGGAAUGAGCAAAUUGUCUUUGUAAUACAGGAAGAAGGCCUUGUUUGACUGCCACAGAUGGGACAUUUAGUGGAGUAAGAAGACUGGUGUGAGAACGGGGUGUUGGUGUUAAUGUUUGGAUUACGGUCCUAGAUGCUGAGAAUUCCUACAGUGGAAGGAGCUUUGGAAUAAGAAACUCGUGAUCUCACCCUUGCCUUGGCGCCCCCAUCAGCUGUGUGACCCUGGCACCCAUCAGAUAAGCAACCCGGGCUGUUGAGAGGACGAUGUUAACUGACCCCCAAGGCAGGACCAGGUGCUGAAGUCCUGCUCUUUCAAAGAUGAUGAACCAGAGAAUACUGUGUCACUGCUUGUUCCAUUCCUGUGCUGGUACUGGCAAGUGGGAAAGCUGGGAUUCAAAUCCAAGUCUGUGUCUCCAAAAGUCCAUGUUGAAGCUGUUCUUGUUGCUGAAUUUAAUGAACCUCUAACACAUGAUCCAAUGGAGAAAGUGAUCCAAUGGAAAGGAUCCAAUGGAGAAAGUGUCACUGAGCUGGGCCGCAGAGCUGGUUAUCAAGGGUAGUCUACGAAGUCAGAGGU